UGAGGAAUAUUGGUCAAUGGUCGCAAGACUGAACCAGCCAUGCCGCGUGCAGGAUGAAGCAUCUAUGGUGUGUAAACUGCUUUUGUACGGGAAGAAACACCCCUUCGUGAAGGGGCUUGACGGUACCGUAAGAAUAAGGAUCGGCUAACUCCGUGCCAGCAGCCGCGGUAAUACGGAGGAUCCGAGCGUUAUCCGGAAUCAUUGGGUUUAAAGGGUCCGUAGGCGGUUUUGUAAGUCAGUGGUGAAAUCCGGCAGCUCAACUGUCGAACUGCCAUUGAUACUGCAGGACUUGAAUUACUGUGAAGUAACUAGAAUAUGUAGUGUAGCGGUGAAAUGCUUAGAUAUUACAUGGAAUACCAAUUGCGAAGGCAGGUUACUAACAUUAUAUUGACGCUGAUGGACGAAAGCGUGGGGAGCGAACA
rnacentral:rRNA from 1 species